rnacentral:rRNA from 1 species
UACGGAAGGUGCAAGCGUUGCUCGGAAUCACUGGGCGUAAAGGGUGCGUAGGCGGCUUGGUAGGUCUGGUGUGAAAGCCCCGGGCUCAGCCCGGGAAGGGCACUAGAAACUGCCAAGCUAGAGUGCCGGAGGGGAGAGUGGAAUUCCUGGUGUAGCGGUGAAAUGCGUAGAUAUCUGGAGGAACACCGGUGGCGAAGGCGGCAUCCUGGACCGAUACUGACGCUGAGGAGCGAAAGCCAGGGGAGCAAACGGG